GUCUGCGUGGUGUAGUGGUAUCACAUCUCACUCUUAACAGACCUAUUACUAGCCGACUGAUGGCAGGAACAGCUGGCUUAGAUCUGGGAAGGUCGCUGGUUCAACUCUAGCCGCGGACA
rnacentral:tRNA from 1 species